rnacentral:lncRNA from 1 species
AGCGCAGCUUCAAGAUUGCUUCUCUUCCUCUCUUACUUUUUAUCCGCCGCUCUGCUUCUUCUUGUCAAGUGGCCGCCGCUCAGCUUCUCUUUGUCAAGUUGCCGUCGCACAGCAGCUCCGCCUCUCCUUGUGAAGCCGCCAUCUGCUCUUGGUGCAGUUGUAAUCGAUCAUUAUUUUUACUUGAGAACCUUAUAGGACAUUUCUCGUUUAUUUCGAUCGACCACAAGAUCUCAGCAAAUCUGUGGUAAAAUUUUAACAUAUUUGAGAAGUUUUCAUUGAUGAUUGUCAGAUUAAUGAAAAUGUUGAGAUCUGUGAAAAAUCCGAAAAAAUUGUGUUUGUGUAUUUUUUGUCGGUUUUUCUGUGUUAUUUUUGUUGUUUGUUCAAGAAAUUUGCAAAAUUUUUGAAAACAAAAUCGAAAAUGAAAGAUUCCGAAAAAAUCCGAUUUUCCGAAAUUUCCGAAAAAAUCGGAAUCGGAUUCUGUUCUUGAAUUCCGAAAAAAUCGGAAUCGGAAUCGGAAUCGGUAUUACGGUUCCGAAAAAAAUCAGAAAUUUUCCGAAAGCCCCGUAUCCGAUCCGAUCCGUCCGAUUUCCACCCCUAACUGCAUCUCAUCAGUAAACGGUAUUGUGAUAUCGGCAUGCAUAAGUGGGUGCUCGUAAGUUGACGAGUUCACUGAACUCCCUCACCCUAGAAAUCUCUAAGUGGUUCCCAAUAAUCGAGUAGAGAUAUCUAUGGUAUAGUUGUACACCAUUAGUCCUUAUGACCUAGACAUCACCGUGACUUCACUAGAGGACCAGCUGUAUCGUGACCUGUCCCUGAGUUCCACCGAGGACCAUCCCAAGGGCCAGUGUUCGUGCAGUCCGAAAUCUAGUGGGAGGUCUGUGCAUUGUAGUCAGGGAUUCGAUCGCUAGAGUAGUCUUGGAUGUCCUGUGUGUUCUGAAAGGUUUGUAAUCAUUCUAAGUCUCUGGCCAGAGCUGACUAAGUGAUGAUUAGAGAAUUCGAUUCUCUAAGUCAUGCACGUGACGAUUACAACACUUGGAACGAUCGCACCGUCAUCGAACAUAUAAAGAGGUCUCGAUGAACCAAUGCCUCUAGUUCGAUCGGGACAUAUGAAUCGAAGGGACUUUACUGUACGUUAACUAUAUCUGAAGGUUCUUGCAGGCACUUCAUUUGUAUCUAGGGAAUCAUGACGCGUAGUUGCUAGACGCCAAUCUUGAUUCGUUGGGUGAUUAAGGUGAAACGAGCUUCAUCUUAAUUGUAACUCUAAGGGACGAGUUCUGACCGCAAAGAGUUGUGGGCCCACAGCUAGCUUACACCUGAACCAUCGAGGGUCACACUGCUCGUGCACAUGAGAUCUUUGAAUAAACGGUCAGAGAUAAAAUAGUUUAUCUUUGCAUAAUUGGAAGUCAAUACGAUUGAAUCCAACAUUCGUAAUUUGGAAUUACGAAUGAGAAUAAGAAAAGGAAAAGAAUAGGCGAACGUGUUAGUGAACUUUCUAAAUCGGGAAGUUUCCAAAUUUAGAAAGUCCACUGAACUAGGGUUUCCACUUUUGGAAAGUUGGAAAAUAAGAGAUGGCACUCGUAAUGACGAGGAAAUUAUAAUGAUUCCGAAAAUGUAAUAGUUGCAAUUUUUCGGUCAUUGGAUUGAGAGAAACGAGCAAGUAAAAGUACUAGCGAACUUAAGCUGUUGGGCCCGGUCCAACUUAAGCCCGCUAGGGUUUUAUGCAAGACACUAUAAAUACAAGAUUUAUAGGUCUUGCACACACAAGUGAAAACCCUAACCCUAGCAGCCGUCCACCUCUCUCUCUCUCGGCCACUCUCCCCGCGGCCACCACCGCGCCGUCGCCGCUCCUCCGUCGCCGGAAUCGGCCAUCUAUUGGCCGAUCCCUUUCGGUACUCUUUUCUUCUUUCUUUUCUUCCGUUAAUUCUAACUAUUACGUGUCUAGUGCCACGUGUUUAGUAGAUCGAAGUAUACGAGGUGAAAUCCGAGAGGAGGAAGAUCGAAGAUCGAAGAAUCGAAGAGCAGUGCACGAGCCGAAGCCGCACGCUACUCCACGCGCCGCCCCGGAAGACCGCGCGUGAGAUUCACGCGCCGCCGUGGCCGUCUCGCCGCUCCUGCCGCUGCACCGCUGCUGCCCCGAUUGUACGGAUUGGUUUCCGUAGCAAUCUCGACUUGCUAAGCGCUCCCACCUCACGCUUCAAGAGGUAAACACACGAAUCCCUUGUUUCGAUUCGUUUACGUUUAAACUAUAUUUUUCAUGUUUGCUUUCGUAUGAUUUUAUGUGAUUAUGUGUAAUCGUUUCAAUCGUUGCAAGCAUGUUAUUUGGUUUAAACGCGAGCAUGUUAAUUGAUUUAAAUUCGGUUAAAUUAUUUAGCAUGUAUGUUGUGUUUAAUUUCGCUGGAAGCGCAAAGGUACGCAAUUAAUUGAUUUAAAUUAUCGGGCAUGUGCUUAUGUGAUUUAAAAUUCGUUUAAUUCGCAUAAAAUUUUGUUUUCCGCUGCGUACGCGUGCCCGAAACCCAACACGUAUAUUUUGUAGCGAGUGUUUUUGUGCAGGUUUCUUGAUGCGCAUUCGUGUCCACGAACUGUAGCACGAAUUUUCACGAUCGCUUUUGGAAUCCAAUUUUGACCAUGUUCGAGUCCGAAUUUGGAAAUUUGACAUUAGACAGCAAUUGUAGCCAGCUAAAAUAGCUUUCUAAUGCCGCCAGAACCAGUUGAUUUGGAGUCCGGAUGAGAAAGUUAUGCUCGACUUCGUGGACACUACCGAAGAUGUUGAGGGAUCCUCUCUUCUAAUUUGAUUUUAUUUUCCUAAUUGCAACUAUUUUCUUACUCUUUGAUCAUUUUUACUUCAUGGACACCUAAUUAUCAAUUUCUACCUAUAAGAUACUAAAUCCACCAAUUAAAACAAAAAUAUAAAUUAAUCCAUAAAAAAAUCCACGUAAACGUAAACGUUGAGUGUUAUUUCUACACUCCACUGUAUCUUUUGUAUUUAGUGUUUUUGCUAUUGUUUGGUUAUGCGUAUUAAAGUCCUAGUGAUGUAUUUCGUGUUUUUAAGAACGUUGUUGCGAAUGUACUUUUACGCAUGUUUUUUUAAAUGUACGUUUGUGCAUGUCCAUUUGAGCGAGUGUGUUUGUGCAUGUUUAUUGAUUUGUAUUAAUGUCCUAGGAUUGUAGUUUGUGAUUUCGUGAUCCUUUUUGCGAAUGCACUUGCCANNNNNNNNNNNNNNNNNNNNNNNNNNNNNNNNNNNNNNNNNNNNNNNNNNNNNNNNNNNNNNNNNNNNNNNNNNNNNNNNNNNNNNNNNNNNNNNNNNNNUAUUAGAUAUCGAAUUUUAUACGUGACCGUAUGGGCAUAUUUCUAUCCUAGCGAAUUAUACUUGCAUGUUAGGACUUAGCAUAAUUUCCAUAAUACAUAAUAUAUAUGUAUGUAUAUGUGCCGUAUUUGUUUGUAUUUUAGGGGAGGAUUAUUAAAUAAUUAUAAAAUAAACAAAUGAUAAUCCUAAGCCUAGCCUAACCCCUAUUAAGACCAAUCUUACACUCCAUCUCAAGCAUGCCUAUUUAGAAGGCCAAGAGUCCCCUUCUCUCCCCCUCAUUUCGGCUGCAUCAAACCCCCUCUCUCUCCCUUGUUUCCUUCCUUCUUCAAGCCACCAUUGCCAUCAGCUCCACCAAGCUCGAACCCCUCCCUAAAUCAACAAGAUUUUUCUCAAGGCAAAGAUGAGAAUUUCCUAUCUCACCCUUGCCCUUGAAUACUCCAAGAACACUAUAAAUACAUGGUGCCCCUUCACUAGUGAAAACACUUCUCACCUUGAAAUCUAUACCGUGUCCUUCCAUAUCAAAGAAGCUUGGUUUAAUCUCAAUGCUUGAAGAGGUAAGAGAUGCCAUUCGAAGUUCUCAAACCCUUCUUUCUUCUUCAUUCUUUUUCUUCCUCUAACUCUCGGUUUUUCUUUGAAGGUUCCCUAGAACCUUCCCCUUUUCAGCUAGCUUUUAUUUCUUUAUAUUUUUUAGGUAAGGAAUCGAAAUCCUUGCUGCAAAUGGAGGUAUCAAGUAUCAAGAACAAAAUUUCGAAAUUAAUUAAAAGACACCCCUAAUUCUUGUUUUAUGUUGUUCUUGCAUUUAAUGUUUCCCUUUGUGUUAGUUUAUAUGAAUUAUGUUAUUGCAUGUAUGAUCAGAGGUCUUAAAUCGUAGAUUUGAGUUGAUGGUUUUCAAGGAAAUUUCAGUUAUUUCGAAAAUUGUGAAGAAAAUUAAAAUUGGGAAAAGUUUUGGGGUUGCAUGUGUAAAUCUGCAUACUUUUGGGCCAGAUCUGUAAUUUUGGAGAAGUCAGACUCAUAUGAGUUUUCAAAAUUUGUUUUUGACAUUUAUUGAACGGAAAUUUUAGAUUUAAGAAAAUUUUGUAAGAAAAGGUAAUUUUUGAACUUCUAGUGGUCUUGCAUGUAUAGAUCUAAAGGUCAUUAGGGUGAAAAAUAGAAUUUUCGAAGUUGUUGCAUAAAUCAAGUUUUUAGUUUCGUUCUUCUGCAUAUAUUGAACAAAGAUUUCGGAUUUUUGGGGGUUGUUAUGAAGAAAUGAAAUUUGAAAUUUUAGUACGGAUGCAUGUGUAAUCCGAAAGAUUUUUGGGGCAAAUCUGCAAUUUUGAGAAGUUAAUUUCGAAUGGCUUUCCAAAUCUGUUUUUCAGCACUUGGUAAAAGACAAUUUCAAUUUCUAAGAAGUUUUAUAAGAAAAAGGAUUUUUGGGAAUUUCUAAGGGUCAUGCAUGUAUAGAUCUAGAGAGUCUAGGGUGAAAAAUGUAAUUUUCGAAAAAUCUGCAUAAAUAACUUCUAACUGGAUUUUUCUGCAAUUAUUGAAACUUCAGAUGUAUUAAGGGUUGAUUUCAUGAAAAUAUGAAUAAGGAACUUUUAGCUUAAUUGCAUGUGUGAGUUUUGAAACUUUUGGGGUCAAAACUGUAAUUUCCAGAGAUUUAGGGGCAUUGUACUGAAUACCCGAAAUCUUCUAAGUUAAUAUGUGUCUUGAUCCUAAAUUUUCUAGUAAAGAGAUUUUGGGAUUUAGUACCUUAAGGAGGAUAUAGGAAUUAAAUGAACCUUUACUAGCCUUGUGGGGAAUUUUGGUUAUAUGUGAGUAAACAUUCAUGAAUGCAUAAUUCGAUGUGUGAUUUAUUGUGUGUUAUGUGGUUGUUUGUCACUUGAUUGAUAUUUGUGAUGUUUUGUGGUGGUUUUAAAUUUCUUAUGGGUUAUUGUGGAAUAUUGAUACCUUUAUGUACUCAACCGGAAUUCUAAAUACUUCGACCAUGCCACUUUUGAAAUUAAAUAAAAUAAAUUGGGGAGAUUAAUGAAAUACUUAGAAAGGAUGAGAAAGGAUACGGGGGGCCGGUAUUCCAACCAUAGAUACUACAGUUGGGUGGUUUGAUUCCACCAAAAACGGGCUCAGAAUAAUCUUCUUAUUUUCUAAGUAAAGAAGUUAAUUUCUCAUCGGAUCCGAUAAAAUGAAAAAGCUUUCUUACGUACACGAAUUUUGAAUGCUAGAAAUGUGCAUUAUAUAUAACUUCAUUUAAUUUGUGUGGCUAUAACAUAAUAUAUGUAGUACGACUAUAUUUUCAAGUCUCGGUAUCUUUCGAGACCCUUACUGAUCUUUGUUAGCUCAUAUAGAUAUUCUCCGUUUGCAGGUAUUAGUGCUACUCACUCCACCGGAUUGGACUAGUCGACGGUUCGAGAAGCUGACUCCGUGUUUUUGGCUCGUAUGGAGGAUCUACUUAUAAUGCUUGUAGUAUUAUCUUUUGUGUAUAUUGUCCUUAGGACAAUUACUAUUUCCGUAGUAGCUCGUGUGUAUUAUUAUUAUCCGUGGUAGAGGAGGCUUAAUUCUCCGAAUGUGGGCCCCUUUUUGUUAAACUAUGGUCCAUUACGUAGAAUUAAUAUGUUGUUUUGGAUUAUGGACUCUAACUCUUUUGUUACUAUGUUUUAUCAAGGUGACACCACUUAUAGUCUAUAUUAUGGAUUAAUCGAGUAGUUAGAUAUAUGCUCCUCCAUCCCACUAAAUCACUUCGCCGAAAUUUUUUCCGAAGCCAUACCCGUCUUUAAGUCUUAGGUCAUUAGAAAAAAAAAAAUUAAUAAAAUAAAAUAAAUAGGCUCGCUAAUCCUUGGAGUCUACCCAUAUAUCUAAACCCUUAUAUAACACACUUAAAGCUUCCGUGCAUGGCAAACCCUCUCGGUUUGCUAUACGAUUACUAGGGGGUGUUACAGACAUGGUAUCAGAGCAAAAUUUGUAGAAACUUUAUACGAGCACCGAACCGGAAUUCGGAACCCUCGAAGCGUGAAGACUCGGUCUGUCCGGUAAUUAUGUGCUUACUUGUGUUUUAUAUUUUUCUAUUUGAUCUAAAUUUUUUGCAACACACACUAAGACAUGACAAGAAGACCAUCUCGGAACACCGCUAACGUUAUUCUCGGUCUCUCCAACCUCAUCCGUGAGCAAGCGCAAAAUCAUCACGAUCAAAUUCAAGAACUCCUUCAAAGCCGACAAACCCCACCUACACCUCAACCAAAUCCCCAAAGCCUAUACGAGCGUUUUCUUCGCAUGAAACCCUCUGAGUUUCACGGUGAUCCCGACCCGGUCGUAGCCGAAGAGUGGAUCAAAUCCUUGGAAGUAAUCUUUGAUUACAUGCAAAUCGAUGACCGUGAACGAGUGCACUUUGCCCUCUUUUUACUUCGUAACGAAGCCCGGAACUGGUGGGAGGGAGCUAAGGAAGGUGUCGAACUCGAGAACUUGUCAUGGGAGUCAUUUAAGGUCCAAUUCUUCGAGAAAUACUUUUCCAAGGACGUUCGGGCCAACAAACUCAAGGAAUUCUUGGAACUCCGCCAAGGGGAUCUCACCAUGACCGAAUACGUUCGGUUAUUUGAACGAGGAUGCUUGUACGCCCCAUUCAUCGCCAAGGACGUUGAGGAAAAGAAAAAUCACUUCACAAGGGGUUUACAACCCGAAAUUCGAAGGGAUAUCCGCAUGUCCGACGCCACUACUUUUCGCCAAAUGGUGGACAAGGCACUAACGGCUGCUCAAGACGAAAAUGAAAUUCAGCAAGGGAAGCGACCCCAGCCACCCACACCACGACCAUGGAAGAAGGCCAACUUUGGAAAUCACAAAUUCAAAGGAAAGAAGGUCCAAAGUCCAAACCCUAAACCAGUAGCACCAACGACCAAGCCAACUUGCUCGAACUGCGGAAAGGCUCACUUUGGGAUCUGCGGAAAGGAUACCGAGUUGUGUAUUCGAUGCAAAAAGCCCGGCCAUAAGGCGAGAGACUGCCCCAACGCUCAAACUCGAGUUCCAGGCCGCGCGUUUGCCAUGACCCGAGAACAAGUGCGUCAAGAUCCGACGAUGAUCGCAGGUACCGUUCUUAUUCUUGGAGAACCCGUGUAUGCUUUGAUUGAUUCUGGCUCUACACAUUCCUUUAUUUCCACCAAUGUGUGUGUACGUCUUGGACUAAUACCAACUCAAGUAAGCCACGAAUAUCGCAUCUCUAUGCCCUCGGGCGAAGAAAUGAUCACUGACAAAGUAGUGAAGGAUUGUCCUAUUCAAAUUCAAUCCCAACCCAUGAGGUUCGAUCUCAUCAUCUUAACAAUCGAGAACUUUGACCUCGUAAUGGGAAUGGAUUGGUUGACCAAGUUCAAGGCACAAAUCAACUGCGCCCUAAAGACCGUAAGCUUUUCUCUCCCAAAUCACACCCUCUUAGAGUUUCGAAGCGACACCAAGACUCUAAUUCCUAUAAUAUCCGCAAUCAAAGCCACCAAACUCAUCAACAAGGGACAUAUCGGGUAUCUCGUCCACCUUCUGGAGAGUAGCUCAAAACCUCAACCAGUGAUGUCUGAACUUCCCGUUGUUCAAGAAUUUCCCGAUGUCUUCCCCGAUGACCUACUCGGGCUACCGCCCGAUCGCGAAAUUGAAUUCGAAAUUCAUCUUAUUCCGGGAACAGAACCAAUCUCAGAGGCUCCGUACCGUAUGGCUCCUGUGGAACUCAAAGAAUUAAAGAAUCAAGUUCAAGAAUUACUCGAUAAGGGUUACAUCCGCCCCAGUCACUCCCCAUGGGGAGCCCCGGUACUAUUCGUUAAGAAGAAAGACGGAUCUUUCCGCCUUUGCAUCGACUAUCGAGAGCUGAAUAAGGUGACCAUAAAGAACCAAUAUCCUCUACCCCGCAUCGACGAUCUCUUUGACCAACUCCAAGGGUCAUCCGUCUUCUCCAAAAUCGACCUUCGGUCAGGUUACCACCAGCUUAAAGUCAAAGAAGCUGAUAUUUCUAAGACUGCUUUCCGAACUCGAUACGGCCACUACGAAUUCGUAGUAAUGCCGUUUGGUUUGACCAACGCCCCCGCCGCUUUUAUGGAUCUUAUGAACCGAGUUUUUCAUCAGUACCUCGACAAGUUUGUCAUCGUCUUCAUCGAUGAUAUUCUUAUAUACUCCAAAACCCAAGAAGAACAUACCUCCCAAUUACGAAUAGUACUCCAAACACUCCGAGAGCAUCAACUCUACGCCAAGUUCAGUAAAUGUGAAUUUUGGCUAUCCCGAGUCACUUUCCUUGGCCAUAUCAUCUCUGCCGAAGGACUUUCCGUCAACCCCGGCAAAAUAGACGCAAUCUCAACCUGGCCCACUCCAAAGAAUGUAAGGGAGAUACGAAGUUUCCUUGGCUUAGCCAGAUACUAUCGCAAAUUCGUUCAAGAUUUUCAAAAAUCGCAUCACCCCUCACUCAACUCACAAAGAAAGGAGUCACUUACCAAUGGACCCCAGAUCGCGAGGACAGUUUCCAAGAACUAAAGAAGCGUUUGACCACCGCUCCAAUUCUUUCACUACCAGACGGAUCCAGAGGAUUUGUGAUUUAAAGCGACGCAUCCAAGCUCGGACUAGGUGCUGUACUUAUGCAAAACGGAAAAGUGAUAGCAUACGCGUCCCGCCAGCUCAAGGAAUACGAGAAGAACUACCCAACUCACGAUCUAGAGCUCGCAGCAGUAGUCUUUGCACUUAAAAUCUGGCGUCACUACCUAUACGGCGAUAAGUGCACUGUUUACACCGAUCACAAAAGCCUUAAGUAUUUCUUCACACAGAAAGAAUUAAACAUGAGGCAGCGAAGAUGGCUCGAUCUGGUUAAAUAUUAUGACUGCGAAUUCCUAUACCACCCCGGGAAGGCGAAUGUUGUGGCAGAUCCCUUAGUCGGAAGUCGAUAAACGCCCUAGUAGUUGAAUCAGAUUUUCGAGACCGCGUGAGGACAGCUCAAGAUCAAGACCCCCAACUUCGGAAAAUUCGCACAAAUCUCGAAGCAAACCCUAACUUCCGAGUUUCCAAAGACGGAUUUCUCCAAUUCCAAAACCGCACUUGCAUUCCCGACGAUGCCGAAAUUAGACGACUCAUCUUAGCCGAGGCACAUCAGACCACAUAUACAUGUCAUCCCGGAUCAACCAAAAUGUACCAAGACUUGAAGAAACUAUAUUGGUGGCCGGGAAUGAAGAAAGAUAUAGCUCGAUUCAUUGCCCAAUGCCUCACCUGCCAACAAAUCAAGACUGAACACCAACGACCCGGAGGAUUACUACAACCAAAUCAAAUCCCCGAAUGGAAAUGGGAAGUGAUAACAAUGGACUUUGUUCAAGGAUUCCCAAGGACCCAGCGCGGAUCUGACUCUAUUUGGGUGAUUAUCGACCGGCUAACCAAAUCGGCCCAUUUUCUUCCAAUCCGCAAGACGUUUAGCCUAGAUAAACUCGCAGAACUCUAUAUGCGAGAAAUCGUUCGACUCCACGGAAUUCCGACGGCUAUUAUUUCGGAUCGAGACCCACGGUUCACCUCAAAAUUCUGGAAAAGUUUGCAAGGAACUCUUGGAACCAAAUUAUCUUUCAGCAUUGCCUUUCAUCCCCAAACCGAUGGCCAGUCGAAAUGCACGAUCAAAACCCUUGAGGACCUACUUCGAGCCUGUAUACUUGACUUUGGAGGCAACUGGGAAUCUCGGCUACCGUUGAUCGAAUUUGCGUAUAAUAAUAGCUUCCAAUCAUCAAUCGGAAUGGCACCAUACGAAGCACUUUACGGACGCAAGUGCCGAUCUCCCCUCUACUGGGACGAAGUUGGAGAGAGAAAACUUCUCGGACCCGACCUAGUUCAACAAACGGUGAACCUAGUUCGAGACAUCCGAGAAAAUAUGCGAGUUGCCCAAAACCGACAACAAAGCUACGCUAAUAAUAGAAGGCGAGAUUUGGAAUUCGAAGUCGGAGGAUUAGUAUUCCUAAAAGUAGCCCCUUUUAAAGGAAUUUUACGAUUCGGAAACCGAGGCAAACUAUCUCCGCGAUAUAUCGGACCGUUCGAAAUACUCGAAAGAAUAGGCAGUCGCGCUUACCGUCUAGCACUUCCACCUAAUCUAUCCCGAAUCCAUAACGUAUUCCACGUCUCCAUGCUUCGCAAAUACAUUUCCAGCCCUGAACACGUCCUCAAAGCUGAACCUAUUGAGCUAAAUCCAAACCUUUCAUACGAAGAAAGACCCCUCCGAAUUCUCGACUCCAAAACCAAGACACUUCGAAACCGCGAGAUUCACCUAGUCAAAGUACAGUGGCACAACCACACCCCCGAAGAAGCUACAUGGGAACGCGAAUCAGAAAUGAGAAGUCUCUAUCCCGAAUUAUUCGGGACAGGUAACAAAUUUUGGGGACAAAAUUUUUUAAGGGGGGAAGAUUGUAACACCCCACGUUUUCAAAACACGAUAAUCUCUAGCCACUUAAAUACUAAAAAUAGGACUAUACAUGAAUUAUUAUGUGCCGGAUUAUUAGAUAUCAAAUUUUAUACGUGACCUUAUGUGCAUAUGUGUUUACGGGCGAAUUAUACAUGCAUGCUAGGACUUAGCAUAAUUUCCAUAAUACAUAAUAUAUAUGUAUGUAUAUGUGCCGUAUAUGUGUGUAUUUUAGGGGAGGAUUAUUAAAUAAUUAUAAAAUAAACAAAUGAUAAUCCUAAGCCUAGCCUAACCCCUAUUAAGACCAAUCCUACACUCCAUCUCAAGCAUGCCUAUUUAGAAGGCCAAGAGUCCCCUUCUCUCCCCCUCAUUUCGGAUGCAUCAAACCCCCUCUCUCUCCCUUGUUUCCUUCCUUCUUCAAGCCACCAUUUCCAUCAGCUCCACCAAGCUCGAACCCCUCCCUAAAUCAACAAGAUUUUUCUCAAGACAAAGAUGAGAAUUCCCUAUCUCACCCUUGCCCUUGAAUACUCCAAGAACACUAUAAAUACAUGGUGCCCCUUCACUAGUGAAAACACUUCUCACCUUGAAAUCUAUACCGUGUCCUUCCAUAUCAAAGUAGCUUGGUUUAAUCUCAAUGCUUGAAGAGGUAAGAGCUGCCAUUCGAAGUUCUCAAACCCUUCUUUCUUCUUCAUUCUUUUUCUUCCUCUAACUCUCGGUUUUUCUUUGAAGGUUCCCUAGAACCUUCCCCUUUUCAGCUAGCUUUUAUUUCUGUAUAUUUUUUAGGUAAGGAAUCGAAAUCCUUGCUGCAAAUGGAGGUAUCAAGUAUCAAGAACAAAAUUUCGAAAUUAAUUAAAAGACACCCCUAAUUCUUGUUUUAUGUUGUUCUUGCAUUUAAUGUUUCCCUUUGUGUUAGUUUAUAUGAUUUAUGUUAUUGCAUGUAUGAUCAGAGGUCUUAAAUGGUAGAUUUGAGUUGAUGGUUUUCAAGGAAAUUUCAGUUAUUUCGAAAAUUGUGAAGAAAAUUAAAAUUGGGAAAAGUUUUGGGGUUGCAUGUGUUAAUCUGCAUACUUUUGGGCCAGAUAUGUAAUUUUGGAGAAGUCAGACUCAUAUGAGUUUUCAAAAUUUGUUUUUGACAUUUAUUGAACGGAAAUUUCAGAUUUAAGAAAAUUUUGUAAGAAUAGGUAAUUUUUGAACUUCUAGUGGUCUUGCAUGUAUAGAUCUAAAGGUUAUUAGGGUGAAAAAUAGAAUUUUCGAAGUUGUUGCAUAAAUCAAGUUGUUAGUUUCGUUCUUCUGCAUAUAUUGAACAAAGAUUUCGGAUUUUUGGGGGUUGUUAUGAAGAAAUGAAAUUUGAAAUUUUAGUACGGAUGCAUGUGUAAUCCGAAAGAUUUUUGGGGCAAAUCUGCAAUUUUGAGAAGUUAAUUUCGAAUGGCUUUCCAAAUCUGUUUUUCAGCACUUGGUAAAAGAAAAUUUCAAUUUCUAAGAAGUUUUGUAAGAAAAAGGAUUUUUGGGAAUUUCUAAGGGUCAUGCAUGUAUAUAUCUAGAGAGUCUAGGGUGAAAAAUGUAAUUUUCGAAAAAUCUGCAUAAAUAACUUCUAACUGGAUUUUUCUGCAAUUAUUGAAACUUCAGAUGUAUUAAGGGUUGAUUUCAUGAAAAUAUGAAUUAGGAACUUUUAGCUUACUUGCAUGUGUGAGUUUUGAAACUUUUGGGGUCAAAACUGUAAUUUCCAGAGAUUUAGGGGCAUUGUACUGAAUACCCGAAAUCUUUUAAGUUAAUAUGUUUCUUGAUCCUAAAUUUGCUAGUAAAGAGAUUUUGGGAUUUAGUAGCUUAAGGAGGAUAUAGGAAUUAAAUGAACCUUUACUAGCCUUGUGGGGAAUUUUGGUUAUAUGUGAGUAAACAUUCAUGAAUGCAUAAUUCGAUGUGUGAUUUAUUGUGUGUUAUGUGGUUGUUUGUCACUUGAUUGAUAUUUGUGAUGUUUUGUGGUGGUUUUAAAUUUCUUAUGGGUUAUUGUGGAAUAUUGAUACCUUUAUGUACUCAACCGGAAUUCUAAAUACUUCGACCAUGCCACUUUUGAAAUUAAAUAAAAUAAAUUGGGGAGAUUAAUGAAAUACUUAGAAAGGAUGAGAAAGGAUAGGGGGGCCGGUAUUCCAACCAUAGAUACUACAGUUGGGUGGUUUGAUUCCACCAAAAACGGGCUCAGAAUAAUCUUCUUAUUUUCUAAGUAAAGAAGUUAAUUUCUCAUCGGAUUCGAUAAAAUGAAAAAGCUUUCUUACGUACACGAAUUUUGAAUGCUAGAAAUGUGCAUUAUAUUUAACUUCAUUUCAUUUGUGUGGCUAUAACAUAAUAUAUGUAGUACGACUAUAUUUUCAAGUCUCGGUAUCUUUCGAGACCCUUACUGAGCUUUGUUAGCUCAUAUAGAUAUUCUCCGUUUGCAGGUAUUAGUGCUAUUCACUCCACCGGAUUGGACUAGUCGACGGUUCGAGAAGCCAACUCCGAGUUUUUGGCUCGUAUGGAGGAUCUACUUAUAAUGCUUGUAGUAUUAUCUUUUGUGUAUAUUGUCCUUAGGACAAUUACUAUUUCCGUAGUAGCUCACGUGUAUUAUUAUUAUCCGUGGUAGAGGAGGCUUAAUCCUCCGAAUGUGGGCCCCUUUUUGUUAAACUAUGGUCCAUUACGUAGAAUUAAUAUGUUGUUUUGGAUUAUGGACUCUAACCCUUUUGUUACUAUGUUUUAUCAAGGUGACACCACUUAUAGUCUAUAUUAUGGAUUAAUCGAGUAGUUAGAUAUAUGCUCCUCCAUCCCACUAAAUCACUUCGCCGAAAAUUUUUCCGAAGCCAUACCCGUCUUUAAGUCUUAGGUCAUUAGAAAAAAAAAUUAAAAAAAAUUCGGCUCGCUAAUCCUUGGAGUCUACCCAUAUAUCUAAACCCUUAUAUGACACACUUAGGUCAUUAGAAAGCUUUCGUGAUCCUUUUUGCGAAUGCACUUUUGCGUGAGUACUUUUAUGCAUGCUUUUGUACUUUUACUUAUGUGCGUAUAUUUUGUAGCGAGUGUUUUUGUGCACGUUUCUUGAUGCGCAUUUGUGUCCUCGAACUGUAGCACGUAUUUUCAUGAUUACUUUUGGAAUCCAAUUUUGACCAUGUUCGAGUUUGAAUUCGGAAAUUUGACAUUAGGCAGGAAUUGAAGCCAGCUAAAAUAGCUUUCUAAUGCCGCCAGAACCAGUUGAUUUGGAGUCCGGAUGAGAAAGUUAUACUCGACUUCGUGGACACUACCGAAGAUGUUGAGGGAUCCUCUCUUUUAAUUUGAUUUUAUUUUCCUAAUUGCAACUCUUUUCUUACUCUUUGAUCAUUUUUGCUUCAUGGACACCUAAUUAUGAAUUUGUACCUAUAAGAUAUAUAAAUCCACCAAUUAAAACAAAAAUAUAAAUUAAUCCAUAAAAAAAUCCACGUAAACGUAAACAUUGAGUGUUAUUUCUACACUCCACUAUAUCUUUUGUAUUUAGUGUUUUUGCUAUUGUUUGGUUAUGCGUAUUAAAGUCCUAGUGUUGUAUUUAGUGUUUUAAAGAACGUUGUUGCGAAUGUACUUUUGCGCAUAUUUUUUUACAUGUACGUUUGUGCAUGUCCAUUUGAGCGAGUGAGUUUGUGCAUGUUUGUUGAUUUGUAUUAAUGUCCUAGGAUUGUAGUUUGGGUUUUCGUGAUCCUUUUUGUGAAUGCACUUUUGCGUGAGUACUUUUGUGCAUGCUUUUGUACUUUUACUUAUGUGCGUAUAUUUUGUAGCGAGUGUUUUUGUGCACGUUUCUUGAUUCGCAAUCGUGUCCUCGAACUGCAGUACGUAUUUUCAUGAUCGCUUUUGGAAUCUAAUUUUGACCAUGUUCGAGUCUGCAUUCGGAAAUUUGACAUUAGACACGAAUUGUAGCCCACUUAAAUAGCUUUCUAUUGUUGUCGGAACCAGUUGAUUUGGAGUCCGGAUGAGAAAGUUAUGCUCGACUUCGUGGAAACUACCGAAGAUGUUGAGGGAUCCUCUCUUCUAAUUUGAUUUUAUUUUCCUAAUUGCAACUCUUUUCUUACUCUUUGAUCAUUUUUGCAUCAUGGACACCUAAUUAUCAAUAUGUAUCUAUAAGAUACUAAAUCCGCCAAUUAAAACAAAAAUAUAAAUUAAUCCAUAAAAAAAUCCAAGUAAACGUAAAUGUUGAGUGUUAUUUCUACACUCCACUGUAUCUUUUGUAUCUAGUGUUUUUGCUAUUGUUUGGUUAUGCGUAUUAAAGUCCUAGUGUUGUAUUUCAUGUUUUUAAGAACGUUGUUGCGAAUGCAUUUUUGCGCAUAUUUUUUUACAUGUACGUUUGUGCAUGUCCAUGUGAGCGAGUGUGUUUGUGCAUGUUUGUUGAUUUGUAUUAAUGUCCUAGGAUUGUAGUUUGUGUUUUCGUGAUCCUUUUUGCGAAUGCACUUUUGCGUGAGUACUUUUGUGCAUGCUUCUGUACUUUUACUUAUGUGCAAAUAUUUUGUAGCGAGUUUUUUUGUGCACGUUUCUUGAUGCGCAUUCGUGUCCUCGAACUGUAGCACGUAUUUUCAUGAUCGCUCUUCGAAUCCUAUUUUGACCAUGUUCGAGUCCGAAUUCGGAAAUUUGACAUUAGACAGGAAUUGUAGCCAGCUAAAAUAGCUUUCUAAUGCCGCCAGAACCAGUUGAUUUGGAGUCCGGCUGAGAAAGUUAUGCUCGACUUCGUGGACACUACCGAAGAUGUCGAGGGAUCCUCUCUUAUAAUUUGAUUUUAUUUUCCUAAUUGCAAAUCUUUUCUUACUCUUUGAUCAUUUUUUCUUAAUGGACACCUAAUUAUCAAGUUGUACCUAUAAGAUACUAAAUCCACCAAUUAAAACAGAAAUAUAAAUUAAUCCAUAAAAAAAUCCACGUAAACGUAAACGUUGAGUGUUAUUUCUACACUCCACUGUAUCUUUUGUAUUUAGUGUUUUUGCUAUUGUUUGGUUAUGCGUAUUAAAGUCCUAGUGUUGUAUUUCGUGUUUUUAAGAACGUUGUUGCGAAUGUACUUUUGCGCAUGUUUUUUUACAUGUACGUUUGUGCAUGUCCAGUUGAGCGAGUGUGUUUAUGCAUGUUUGUUGAUUUGUAUUAAUGUCCUAGGAUUGUACUUUGUGUUUUCGUGAUCCUUAUUGCGAAUGCACUUUUGCGUGAGUACUUAUGUGUAUGCUUUUGUACUUUUACAUAUGUGCGUAUAUUUUGUAGCAAGUGUUUUUGUGCACGUUUCUUGAUGCGCAUUCGUGUCCUCAAACUGUAGCACGUAUUUUCAUGAUCGCUUUUGGAAUCCAAUUUUGACCAUGUUCGACUCCGAAUUUGGAAAUAUGACAUUAGACAGGAAUUGUAGCCAGAUAAAAUAGCUUUCUAAUGCCGCAGGAACCAGUUGAUUUGGAGUCCGUAUGAGAAAGUUAUGCUCGACUUCGUGGACACUACCAAAGAUGUGGAGGGAUCCUCUCUUCUAAUUUGAUUUUUUUUUCCUAAUUGCAACUCUUUUCUUACUCUUUGAUCAUUUUUUCUUCUUGGACACCUAAUUAUCAAUUUGUACCUAUAAGAUACUAAAUACACCAAUUAAAACAGAAAUAUAAAUUAAUCCAUAAAAAAAUCCACGUAAACGUAAACGUUGAGUGUUAUUUCUACACUCCACUGUAUGUUUUGUAUUUAGUGUUUUUGCUAUUGUUUGGUUAUGCGUAUUAAAGUCCUAGUGUUGUAUUUCGUGUUUUUAAGAACGUUGUUGUGAAUGUACUUUUGCGCAUGUUUUUUUACAUGUACGUUUGUGCAUGUCCAUUUGAGCGAGUGUGUUUGUGCAUGUUUGUUGAUUUGUAUUAAUGUCAUAGAGAUGGUAGUUUGUGUUUUCAUGAUCCUUUUUGCGAAUGCACUUUUGCGUGAGUACUUCUGUGUAUGCUUUUGUACUUUUACAUAUGUGCGUAUAUUUUGUAGCGAGUGUUUUUGUGCACGUUUCUUGAUGCACAUUCGUGUCCUCGUACUGUAGCACGUAUUUUCAUGAUCGCUUUUGGAAUCCAAUUUUGACCAUGUUCGAGUUCGAAUUUUGAAAUAUGAUAUUAGACAGGGAUUGUAGCCAGCUAAAAUAGCUUUCUAAUGCCGCCGGAACAAGUUGAUUUGGAGUCCGGAUGAGAAAGUUAUGCUCGACUUCGUGGACACUACCGAAGAUGUCGAGGGAUCCUCUCAUCUAAUUUGAAUUUAUUUUCCUAAUUGCAACUCUUUUUUUACUCUGUGAUCAUUUUUGCUUCAUUCACACCUAAUUAUCAAUUUGUACCUAUAAGAUACUAAAUCCACCAAUUAAAACAGAAAUAUAAAUUAAUCCAUAAAAAAAUCCACGUAAACGUAAACGUUGAGUGUUAUUUCUACACUCCAUUGUAUCUUUUUUAUUUAGUGUUUUUGCUAUUGUUUGGUUAUGCGUAUUAGACUCCUAGUGUUGUAUUUCGUGUUUUAAAGAACGUUGUUGCGAAUGUACUUUUGCGCAUGUUUUUUUACUUGUACGUUUGUGCAUGUCUAUUUGAGUGAGUGUGUUUGUGCAUGUUUGUUGAUUUGUAUUAAUGUCCUAGGAUUGUAGUUUGUGUUUUCGUGAUCCUUUUUGCGAAAGCACUUUUGCGUGAGUACUUUUGUGCAUGCUUUUGUACUUUUACUCAUGUGCGUAUAUUUUGUAGCGAGUGUUUUUGUGCACGUUUCUUAAUGCACAUUCGUGUCCUCGAAUUGUAGCACGUAUUUUCAUGAUCGCUUUUGGAAUCUAAUUUUGACCAUGUUCGAGUCCGAAUUUGGAAAUAUGACAUUAGACAGGAUUUGUAACCAACUAAAAUAGCUUUCUAAUGCCGUCGAAACCAGUUGAUUUGGAGUCCGGAUGAGAAAGUUGUGCUCGACUUCGUGGAAACUACCGAAGAUGUUGAGGGAUCCUCUCUUCUAAUUUCAUUUUAUUGGUGUUGGUCAAUUUUUGUUAGUGUUAGCCAAUUUUUGACAGCUUCUAUCUUACUCGGAUCGAGAGAAAUACCAUUCUUGGACACGACAUGCCCUAGGAAUACAACUUGAUCAAGCCAAAACUCGCACUUCUUAAAUUUAGCAUAUAGUUGCCGUUCUUUCAAUAUUUGCAACACCACUCUCAAAUGUUCUCUAUGUUCGUCUUUAUCAUGGGAAUAGAUCAAGAUAUCAUCAAUGAACACAAUCACAAAUUUGUCUAGGAACUCCUUGAACACCCUAUUCAUCAAAUCCAUAAAAGCUGAGGGGGCAUUUGUUAAGCCAAAGGGCAUGACUAGAAAUUCAUAAUGUCCGUACCUUGUUCUAAAUGCAGUCUUUUGUAUGUCAUCCUCCUUUAUUUUCAAUUGAUGAUACCCGGAGCGUAAAUCGAUCUUCGAAAAUAUUGAUGCUCCUUGCAAUUGAUCAAACAAAUCAUCUAUUCUGGGCAGUGGAUAUUUGUUCUUGAUUGUAAGUUUGUUCAGUUCUCUAUAAUCGAUGCAUAAACGUAAUGUACCAUCUUUCUUUUUCACAAACAAAUUCGGUGCUCCCCAAGGAGAAUAACUCGGCCGAAUAAGACCUUUAUGCAACAAGUCUUGUAGUUGAAUCUUCAACUCUUUCAGUUCUGUUGGUGCCAUUUUGUAUGGAGCUUUAGAAAUAGGAGUACUUCCGGGCAACGUAUCAAUAACAAAUUCAAUUUCUCAAUCCGGUGGCAGUCCUGGUAAGUCAUCUGGAAAUACCUCAAGAAAUUGAUAAACCACAUCCACAUCUUGGGGUUGCAAUUGUGUUCCUACUGAAGUGUCCAUAACAUUACCCAAGUAUCCAACACAACCCUUACUCAUCAUCUUUUGAGCCUUCAAUGCAGCUAUAAAUGGUAUUGAAGAUGAAAGUGAAUGACCGCCAAACUCGAAAUGUUCUUCACCCGGUGGCUGGAAGAUGACAACCUUCCGAUUACAAUUAAUGGUUGCAUAAUAUUUUGUAAGCCAAUCCAUGCCCAAAAUAGUCUCAAAAUUUGCGACAGGUAAAACAACAAGAUCCGCACAAAGUGUUCUACCACUUAUCUGAAUAGAACAAUGUUUCAACAUUUGGUUGGAAUUCAUCUCUUCCCUGAUGGAGUCGUCACACUGUACGUCACAUCCAACGUAUCUGGUAUAAUGCCCAAUCUCCUCACCAAUGAAUGUGAUGCAAAUGAAUGAGUAGAUCCUGAGUCUAUUAAUGCAAGUGUUGGAGUUCCUAAAAUCAAAAUAGUACCUGAGACAACGGAUGCAUCUACAUCAGCUUGUUCUUUAGUCAUUGCAUACACUCUCGCUUGAACUUUGACUGGUGGGGUGCGACAAUCCCUUGCAAUAUGCCCUGGCUUCUUACACCUAAAGCAACAAUUUAAACCGCUAUAGCAUUCUCCAAAAUGAUUAUUCCCACAUGUGGCACACUUGGGCUUUUCAACUAUAGUAGAACUUUGUACAACUCUAGGGCGCUUCUCAUUUACUUGGCCUGAUUUUUGCUCUGGUUUCUUCCAUUGAGAUUGAGUUCUUUGAGUAAAAGUUUGCCUCUUCUGUUGAUGAAAUUUCUGAAUUUACUUCUCAUCAAAGUCAGCCAUUAAUGCGUUGUCCACCACUUGUCGAAACUCGUUUGGAGAAGAGAUCCUUACAUCUUUUCUAAUAACUGGGUUGAGGCCUCUCAUGAAGUGAUCCAUCUUUUCUUUGUUAUCUUUGGCUAUGUAAGGUACAUACUUGCAACCCUCCUCGAAUUUUCGCACGUAGUCACACACGGACCUUUCAUUCUGCUUCAAUUCUAAGAACUCUUUUACUUUGAGUGACCGGACAUCCCUCGUGAAAUACUUGUCAUAAAAGAUUGUUUUGAAUGCCUCCCAUGUCAACUUCUCCAUAUCCACUGCAAGUUUUGUACCCUCCCACCAAGUUCUAGCUUCUUUCUUCAAUGGGAAAAUGGCACAAAGUACUUUCUCGGAAUCUUCGAUUCGCAUGUAAUCAAAGAUGACAUCUAGAGAUUUUACCCAUUCUUCCGCAACCAUAGGAUCAGACCCACCAUAGAAAUCAACCGGUUCCAUUUUACGAAAUUUCUCAUACACGGUAAGAGAGUUAUCGUGUCUAGCUUGUGGAGGAGGUUGUUGGUUUUGUUCAUGGGUUCGCUGUUGCAUAUCGAACAAUUUUUGUAUCUGUUCGCCAUCCAUUCUAGUCUGUUGCUGAAUCAAACCAGCUAAAUUAUCAACUAAGUUGUAGUCACCCUCGUGGUCGACAUUCCCUGUCUUCCUUUUUGGUGUCAUUACUUCCUAUACAUUGCCGAAUCUCAUCCCAUUCAUUAGCCAAUACUAAUGCACAAUCAUGACAAUGGCAUACAUAUGUUAAGAUAAUCAAACACAUAGGUAAAUAAGAAGAGAGUUAACCAAGCUUCCCAGCCAAAGUAUGUUCAUAUGCCUUCUUCUAUCUUCAGAAAAGAUUUUAAACCUCUGCUCUGAUACCACAAAUGUAACGCCCCACAACCUAACAGCAGAAUCCAAUCGGAUCACCACCAUUAAGUUAGGGAUGCUACCCUUUUAUAUAUACACUUAAACAUUAUGGUUUUAAUACAAAAAUACGUUAUAUGCUUUGAAAAGAAAUCAAACUUUGUACUUUCUCGAAAUCUGUACAAAUAUAUACAUAUUUAUUGUUUACAAAAUUAUAUUGUACAAAAACCAUAAUAGAGCGGCUAACAAAAUGAAAUCAGAGUUUCUAGCUCGGCUACAAAAAUGGCUCGAAGCAUGGCAUAUGAACAAAUCUCUGUCUGGCCGCUCUUGGCUAGGUCAACUUCUAAACAUGUACAUCAUUACCUGCAUCAUAAGAACCUAAUGAGCUAAUGGCUCAGCAAGUCGAAACUGAUGUAAUAACAAUAUAUCACAUAACACGACAUAACACGUUAUUCAUUCAAUAUGUACAAUAUCACAUAUAACUUCAUUCAUGAUCCUUUUCUUUGAAAUCCUUCUCUUUAUCGGGUACCCUUGAAGUGUGGUACUUGACUGAUAGCAAUAGACUUUGAUUUUCGGAACCUGUUCAUCAUAUUUGGCCAAUAGAUAAUACGGGGGUUUCCAUACCGGCCUUUUGACCUCAGGUAUUAGCCGUAUUUCAUUUCUUUAAUUGUGGGUUUUCCAUACUGGUCUUUCGACCUCAGGUAUUUGCCACCAUGUGUUGGGUCCGCCGGUUCCUCCCGCGUCCCUUGCCUACUCGACUAUCAAUCCAGUACCAUACUCCCAUUUUCAAAACAUAUUCUAUCAUAUCACUAUGACUCAUCAAUCAUUCAAACAUCAUGGAGAACACAUAGCAAAAGUCACAUUAAAACACACAUAAUUAGGUUCUUACGAUGAACAAAUGAAAGCUUCAACUUACCUCAAGUCCAAUAUGGUCUAUGAAGUGAAUAGAUCAGUCUCAUAUAGAUUGUGCUAGAUUCCUUGAUUAUAGAUUAAUUCAAACUUCAAAACGUAGGAUUUUCAGCUAGAAAAGGUGCAGAACUUGUUCUAGCACUACCUCUAUGAGUUCUUAUGAUUGAUGUUCUCUUAUGUGAGUAUGGAAGUGAAGAAAUAUCAAGAGAAGCUUAAGGAAAUAGGUCUGGUCGGUUUUUGGAAGAAGACAAGUGAAAUGAAGACCAAAACACAAAGUCUUCACUUAUCUACCCAUUCCCAACAAGGCCAAAUGGAGGAUGAUGAUUGGAAGGCUUAUAUUUGCUGGAUUCUUGUAGUUCCUCCACGUUUUUCUAGCUUGAGAUAAGAUAUGGGCUGAUGCUUACUCAUUAUAAUCAAGUGUAAACAAUUUGAGAAUGGUCUUGUGCAACCUAGUCAACCAACCAAUCAAAUUGCACCAUUUUGCAUACUUUUGGUUUUAGUCUAAUAUGAGUUACUUCAAGUAAUUACAUAUGUAAUUAAUCAUAUUAAAAUGUAAUUGAAAUGCAGAACUGCAAUUAAAACAAAUAUAUCAGCGUUUAGCACAUUGAUCCCUUCUUAACCGAGAAACUGAGCUUCUCACUACAAUAUAUCACUUAAGUCUCAUGUUAAAUCAUAAAAUAGGAGUUCAAUAACAUGUAUCAUGUAUCAGCACAUUUUAACAAAAGUAUUCGAUCACGUAUUAAAACACAAUGAAGGCACAUGUGUAGCAAGUAGUCGUGAUCAUGCAUCAUGAAUGAUGAAUUAUAACUACAUGCAUUGAUGCAAUAUACUUAUUAUUGGCCAUGUACGGAUGAUUGGGCAUUACACUUUUGUACUUUUCACUACAACACAAAUCAUCAUCCAUAGCGUUUGAAAAACGCUAUUGUAGGAUUGCAUAGCGUUUUUGAAAACGCUAUGUCUGCCGGAGCUAUAAUAGGUCUCGAUUUUGUUAUAGCGUUUUUUCAAAGCUAUUAUAUUUACACGUAAUAUAGCGUUUUUUAUGUGCUAUUGUAUGGAUUUGUACAACUAUGAUGAAACGCUAUUGUAAAGAUAUGGUAACAUUUUGUGCAUGCUAUUGUAUGUCUUUUUGUAGCUUACGUCAAAUGCUAUUGUAACUCUACUAUGGCUUGUCCUAAACGCUAUUAAAGAUGAGACAAAAAAUAAAUAAGCUGCUAUAAAUAAUUUAUUAUAGAAUUUUUUAAUCGCUUUUAUAAAUUAUUUAAACAACCUUUAAUUAGUUUUUAGUUUUUAGUAAUAGCAUGCAUAUUGGGCAUUCAUUAAUAAUAAUAAAAAUUAUAGAAUACCAAGAUGAUACAGAAUAAAUAGUUGUCAUUACAAAUAUCUCAACCAAAUCGUCAAUAGAACACAAAAUCUAACAUUAAUCUUCUAGUAUUCAUACUCAUUAAUGAAAAAAGAACAAGACACUGUCGCAACAAAAAAACUAGUUCAGAGUCAUCCUUGACUGCAUCACCUGUUACCAAAGAAGAGGAGACCAAAAAUUACUUAAUUAACCUAUAUAAAAUAAACUGACUCUAAUAUAUAUGUUGGAAAAUAAUACAACAAAUGUAACAUUUUACCGAGCUCUAAACCAUAACAACUUUAUUGUAACGGCGAUGACAACUUCAAUUAACUCCAUCUCAGAUGAAGACCUUCAAAGAGAUGCGCAUAAUUUUGGAAUUGUUCAUAUAGACCAAAAAACUAAAAUGAAUUACCUAUCCCACUCUAAUUAGUGGGGGGCAAAACAAUUACAGAGAUAAUUUUUGAUGGGCAAUAAUUCAGAAAAUCAUGAUAGAUAAAGAAAUUUAAGAUCAUAAAAGCGGCAGAAUAUGUUAUCACCCUGCUAUAAAUUUAUAUUUUUCAUAUAAACUGAUCUCAAACAUGAUGGCAACACUGAGUUAUGAGAAGGAGGGUGUUACCCGUUGAACUAGUUAAUAUUCACAGGGCAUCAAAGCUUGCGGAAAGAAACCUAAACAAACAACUACUUCAAUGUACUCUAUCGUCUUUAAUGAUAUUCCUGGCAAAAAAAAUAUGAAAAUAAAAAGUAGCCACAAUUCCAAUUUUAAAUUAAAAAAAAAAAAAAAAAAAAAAAAAAAAAAAAAAAAAAAACAACUCUACAUAGAAAAUUAAAGCUUGCGACCAAGAAUUUUGAAUAUCAAAUUUAGGAGAUUCAAUUCUACUUCUACAUGACAAACCUCAGGGGAUCAAUAAUCAGCAUAUUAAACUAGACAAUGAAGAUUAAUUCCCAAAGUAAAUACCUUUGUAAUUGGAAUUUAUUUCGUCUUGCAAGUUCUAACAACUGAGAUUGAUAUGUGCGGAAGUUAAAACUGCAAAGCAAGAAAUAAGAAGUAUCUAUCAAACAUCCAAAUACAUGCACACUGAGCUAACUAAGAUAAAACUAAACUAUAAAGUCAACUAGCACACAUUACAACAUUGCUAUGUAAACAAGAAAUAAGAAAAAAGAAAAUUUGAGGAAUAAUCACAAAUAUAAGAAUAAAAGAGUAAGCUAGACAAGAAAUACAAUCACUAGUAUAUUUGCAGUCCAAGAAAGAUAUAAACCCACAAGAAGUCUAAUAUCAUAAUAAAUGAAAAUUCAAACUUCAUACGAGGAUAUAAGGCAAUAACAUUUUGAAAAUAAAAAAUACGUUUUAUCUAAUUAAUCUUCAAAUGCCAUAUAGAAAUCGAAGAUAACAAUUUUUCCAAUUACAGACUCGCAUUCGUAUAUAGAUAUAUACAUGUAGUUAACAAAUACAGACAAAGGGUAACAAUUUCAACAUACAUAAAAAAGAAAAAAAGAAAAAAAAUGAAGAUGUCGGACUUGGAAGAAGGACAUACUUUUGUUGGCGUCUCUUUCUAUUGAAAAUUGACAACAACCCAACAAUUAUAAACAUAGAAUCUGCAAUAGUAAAGAGUAAAUUAGUAAACUUAAUUAGGGCCUUUUUAAAAAAAAAAAAAAACAAAGGAAAAUUAGAAAAGCUAAGAGUGCGAUUCCUUAUUACGAGUGGAAAUUGGAAGGAACCAUCAAGAUUGCGUCGGAAGAUCGGUGCUGGAUCGAGAGAGAAGAUAAUCUAGAAACAGACAAUUUUGUGGCUUCCAUGGAAAUAGAAUUCUCCGCGAGACACCUCUGAUGACUGCAUAUGGCGAGAGAACCGUCGGAGAGAUUCCGCAUAUGACUGAAAAGUGGAGAUAACAGAUGGACCGCCGGCGUUUUUAUCUUGAAGAGAAACGGAGAAACAAUGUUCUAAAAUAAAGGGCUUUUUGACCAUAGGAAAUUGGGAUAGGUGUAUGAAGGAAAUUUAUUAUAUGCCUAAAAUAUGUGAUGCUUUAGAGUUUCUAGCGGCCCACAAAAGUAAAUCAAUUUUAUAGCGUUUCUAUUAGUAAUUAAGAGUAUCGGAAAAACAAUUAUAGCACUCUUCGCAAAAGUGCUAUAAAAAUAUGCUAUUAAAAGUCAUUUUUGUUGUAGUGUUUACUCAUGUGCGUAUAUUUUGUAGCUGGUGUUUUUGUGCACGUUUCUUGAUGCGCAUUCGUGUCGUCGAACUGUAGCACGUAUUUUCAUGAUCGCUUUUGGAAUCCAAUUUUGACCAUGUUCGAGUCCGAAUUUGGAAAUAUGACAUGAGAAAGGAAUUGUAGCCAGCUAAAAUAGCUUUCUAAUGCCGCCGGAACCAGUUGAUUUGGAGUCCGGAUGAGAAAGUUAUGCUCGACUUCAUGGAAACUACCGAAGAUGUUGAGGGAUCCUGUCUUCUAAUUUGAUUUUAUUUUCCUAAUUGCAACUCUUUUCUUACUCUUUGAUCAUUUUUUCUUCAUGGACACCUAAUUAUCAACUUGUACCUAUAAGAUACUAAAUCCACCAUUAAAAAUAGAAAUAUAAGAUAAUCCAUAAAAAAAUCAACGUAAGCGUAAACGUUGAGUGUUAUUUCUACACUCCACUGUAUGUUUUGUAUUUACUGUUUUUGCUAUUGUUUGGUUUUGCGUAUUAAAAUCCUAGUGUUGUAUUUCGUGUUUUUAAGAACGUUGUUGCGAAUGUACUUUUGCGCAUAUUUUUUUAUAUGUACGUUUGUGCAUGUCCAUUUGAGCGAGUGUGUUUGUGCAUCUAAAUUGAUUUGUAUUAAUGUCCUUGGAUUGUAGUUUGUUUUUUCAUGAUGCUUUUUGCGAAUGCACUUUCGCGUGAGUACUUUUGUGUUUUCAUGAUGCUUUUACAUAUGUGCGUAUAUUUUGUAGCGAGUGUUUUUGUGCACGUUUCUUGAUGCGCCUUCGUGUCCUCGUCCUGUAGCACGUAUUUUCAUGAUCGCUUUUGGAAUCCAAUUUUGACCAUGUUUGAGUCCGAAUUUGGAAAUUUGACAUUAUACAGGAAUUGUAGCCAGCUAAAAUAGCUUUCUAAUGCCGCCGGAACCAGUUGACUUGGAGUCCGGAUAAGAAAGUUAUGCUCGACUUCGUGGACACUACCGAAGAUGUUGAGGGAUCCUCUCUUCUAAUUUUAUUUUAUUUUCCCAAUUGCAACUCUCUUCGUACUCUUUGAUCAUUUUUGCUUCAUGGACACCUAAUUAUCAAUUUGUACCUAUAAGAUACUAAAUCCACCAAUUAAAACAAAAAUAUAAAUUAAUCCAUAAAAAAAUCCACGUGAAUGUAAACGUUCAGUGUUAUUUCUACACUCCACUGUAUCUUUUGUAUUACGUAUUUUUACUAUUGUUUGGUUAUGCGUAUUAAAAUCCUAGUGUUGUAUAUCGUGUUUUUUAGAACGUUGUUGCGAACUUUUGUGCAUAUUUUUUUACAUGUACGUUUGUGCAUGUCCAUUCGAGCGAGUGUGUUUGUGCAUGUUUGUUGAUUUGUAUUAAUGUCUUAGGAUUGUAGUUUGUGUUUUCAUGACCCUUAUUGCGAAUGCGCUUUUGCGUGUGUGUUUUUUUGCCUGCUUUUGUACUUUUACUUAUGUGCUUAUAUUUUGUAGCAAGUGUUUUUGUGCAUCUUUCUUGAUGUGCAUUCAUGUCCUCGUACUGUAGCACGUAUUUUCAUGAUCGCUCUUGGAAUCCAAUUUUGACCAUGUUCGAGUCCGAAUUUGGAAAUUUGACAUUGGACACGAAUUGUAGCCAGCUAAAAUACCUUUCUCAUGCCGCCAGAACCAGUUGAUUUGGAGUCCGGAUGAGAAAGUUAUGCUCGACUUCGUGGACACUACAGAAGAUGUUGAGGGAUCCUCUCUUCUAAUUUUAUUUUAUUUUCCUAUUUGCAACUCUUUUCGUACUCUUUGAUCAUUUUUGCUUCAUGGACACCUAAUUAUCAAUUUGUACCUAUAAGAUACUAAAUCCACCAAUUGAAACAAAAAAUGUAAAUUAAUCCAUCCAAAAAUCCACGUAAACGUAAACGUUGAGUGUUAUUUCUACACUCCAAUAUAUCUUUUGUAUUUAGUGAUUUUACUAUUGUUUGUUAUGCGUAUUAAAGUUCUAGUGUUGUAUUUCGUGUUUUUAAGAACGUUGUUGAGAAUGUACUUUUGCGCAUAUUUUUUUACAUGUACGUUUGUGCAUGUCCAUUUGAGCGAGUGUGUUCUUGCUUGUUUGUUGAUUUGUAUUAAUGUCCUAGGAUUGUAGUUUAUGUUGUCGUGAUCCUUUUUGCGAAGGCACUUUUGCGUGAGAACUUUGGUGCAUGCUUUUGUACUUUUGCUUAUGUGCGUAUAUUUUGUAGCGAGUGUGUUUUUGCACGUUUCUUGAUGCGCAUUCGUGUCCUCGAACUAUAGCAUGUAUUUUCAUGAUCGCUUUUGGAAUCCAAUUUUGACCAUGUUCGUGUCCGAAUUUGGAAAUUUGACAUUAGACAGGAAUUGUAGCCAGCUAGAAUAGCUUUCUAAUGCCGCCAGAACCAGUUGAUUUGGAGUCCGGAUGAGAAAGUUAUGCUCGACUUCGUGGACACUACCGAAGAUGUUGAGGGAUCCUCUCUUCUAAUUUGAUUUUAUUUUCCUAAUUGCAUCUCUUUUCUUACUCUUUGACCAUUUUUGCUUCAUGAACACCUAAUUGUCAAUUUGUACCUAUAAGAUACUAAAUCCACCAAUUAAAACAAAAAUAUAAAUUAAUCCAUAAAAAAAUCCACGUAAACGUAAACGUUGAGUGUUAUUUCUACACGCCACUGUAUCUUUUGAAUUUAGUGUUUUUGCUAUUGUUUGGUUAUGCGUAUUAAAGUCCUUGUGUUGUAUUUCAUGUUUUUAAGAAAGUUGUUGCGAAUAUACUUUUGCGCAUAUUUUUUUAUAUGUACGUUUGUGCAUGUCCAUUUGAGCGAGUGUGUUUGUGCAUCUUUAUUGAUUUGUAUUAAUGUCCUAGGAUUGUAGUUUGUGUUUUCAUGAUGCUUUUUGCAAAUGCACUUUCGCGUGAGUACUUUUGUGCAUACUUUUGUACCUUUACAUAUUGCGUAUAUUUUCUAGCGAGUGUUUUUGUGCACGUUUCUUGAUGUGCAUUCCUGUCCUCGUACUGUAGCACGUAUUUUCAUGAUCGCUUUUGGAAUCCAAUUUUUACCAUGUUUGAGUCCGAAUUUGGAAAUUUGACACUAGACGGGAAUUGUAGCCAGCUAAAAUAGCUUUCUAAUGCCAGCGGAACCAGUUGAUUUGGAGUAUGGAUGAGAAAGUUAUGCUCGACUUCGUGGACUCUACCGAUGAUGUUGAGGGAUCCUCUGUUCUAAUUUGAUUUUAUUUUCCUAAUUGCAACUCUUUUCUUACUCUUUAAUCAUUUUUGCUUCAUGGACACCUAAUUAUCAAUUUGUACCUAUAAGAUACCAAAAUCAACCAAUUAAAACAAAAAUAUAAUUUAAUCCAUAAAAAAAUCCACGUAAACGUUCAGUGUUAUUUCUACACGCCACUGUAUCUUUUGUAUUUAGUGUUUUUGCUAUUGUUUGGUUAUGCGUAUUAAAGUCCUAGUGUUGUAUUUCGUGUUUUUAAGAACGUUGUUGCGAAUGAACUUUUGCGCAUAUUUUUUUACAUGUACGUUUGUGAAUGUCCUUUUGGGCGAGUGUGUUUGUGCGUUGUUGAUUUGUAUUAAUGUCGUAGGAUUGUAGUUUGUGUUUUCAUGAUCAUUUUUGCGAAUGCACUUUUGCGUGAGUACUUUUGUGCAUGCUUUUGUACUUUUACUUAUGUGCGUAUAUUUUGUAGCGAGUGUUUUUGUGCACGUUCUUGAUGCGCAUUCGUGUCCUCGAGCUGUAGCACGUAUUUUCAUGAUCACUUUUGGAAUCCAAUUUUGACCAAGUUCGAGUCCGAAUUCGGAAAUUUGACAUUAGACAGGAAUUCUAGCCAGCUAAAAUAGCUUUCUAAUGCCGCGGGAACUAGUUGAUUUGGAGUAAAGAUGAGAAAGUUAUGCUCGACUUCGUGGACACUACCGAAGAUGUUGAGGGAUCCUCUCUUCUAAUUUGAUUUUAUUUUCCUAAUUGCAACUCUUUUCUUACUCUUUGAUCAUUUUUGCUUCAUGGACACCUAAUUAUCAAUUUGUACCUAUAAGAUACCAAAAUCAACCAAUUAAAACAAAAAUAUAAAUUAAUCCAUAAAAAAAUCCACGUAAACGUAAACGUUCAGUAUUAUUUCUACACGCCACUGUAUCUAUUUUAUUUAGUGUUUUUGCUAUUGAUUGGUUAUGCGUAUUAAAGUCCUAGUGUUAUAUUUCGUGUUUGUAGGAACGUUUGUGCGAAUGUACUCUAUGCGCAUAUUUUUUUACAUGGGCGUUUGUGCGUGUCCAAUUGAGCGAGUGUGAUUGUGCAUGUUUGUUGAUUUGUAUUAAUGUCCUAUGUCAUGCGCCCCUUUGUGUUUUCAUGAUCCUUUUUGCGAAUGCACGUUUGCGUGAGUACUUUUGUGCAAGCUUUUGUACUUUUACUUAUGUGCGUAUAUUUUGUAGUGAGUGUUUUUGUGCACAUUACUUGAUGUGCAUUCCUGUCCUCGUACUGUAGCACGUAUUUUCAUGAUCGCUUUUGGAAUCGAAUUUUGACCAUGUUCGAUUCCGAUUUUGGAAACUUGACAUUAGACGGGAAUUGUAGCCAGCUAAAAUAGCUUUCUAAUGCCAGCGGAACCAAUUGAUUUGGAGUACGGAUGAUAAAGUUAUGCUCGACUUCGUGGACACUACCGAAGAUGUUGAGGGAUCCUCUCUUCUAAUUUGAUUUUAUUUUCCUAAUUGCAUCUCUUUUCUUACUCUUUGAUCAUUUUUGCUUCAUGGACACCUAAUUAUCAAUUUGUACCUAUAAAAUACUAAAUCAACUGAUACGAACCACGCCAACCAUGUGACGAGACCCGAUAUCAAUACUUCGGAUAUCAAAUCCUGGACCGUCCAAAGAAGGAAUCAAAGGGUGGAACCGCGACCCGUUGCCUAUAAGGAGGCAAGAACCUUGGUAUGUGAAGACGCCACAAUCGAUUGCGGAAGAUCGAUUGAUAAGUCUGGGUGAACAAACGGAAUCCACCGAAAUGUUCGAACGGUUCAUAAAGAACCAACCGUGAAUAUUCUCAAUUAAAUCAUCAAAAUUCGUCCAUUAAAAUCAGCCAAAUUGGCUACAUAUAUAUAAGAUCUAAAAAGACUCCUUUUUCACAAGGAAAAGGACUCUUACCUAAUCUAUAAUAAGGAAACUAAUAAAUAAGAAAAUCCUAGCCAUAACUAACUCUAAAAUAAUACAAAUAUAUUAAACCUAAUAUAAAAACGUAAUUAAAUAAAAUCUAAACUCCAAAUAUCAAGUCGACGACACGAACAUUCUUCAUAACCCGAGUAGACAUUUGGCUGUACACGUGUCUUGACUUCAAGCUCGAUUUCUGAUGUCUUCCACUCCGAAUCUCUCUCGCAUUAAAACAUAAAAGUUUUACGAUCUUGAAGUUGGCUUUCUGUAGCAAUUCAAAUCACCUUAAUUGGACUUCAGAUGAGAAAGUAAUGAGUCAAAUUGUGUAACUCUGCCAGAAUAAUACGGGACUUCCGGGAUGAAUGAAAUUCGACUUGUCCAACGAAUUUCCCUCUUCCUUGUCUCGCAAUUCUUCGUGUUGGAUGUAGUUAGGAUCAUAUCAUACUCCCUUUCUUCAAAAGAAUUCGUCCUCGAAUUCGAUUCCUUUGAAUGAGCGUGUAGUAUUGAAAGCGAAUCCAUGAGGCAGAAAGUUCUUCACUGUAUUUGGAACUUUUUUUUUCCUUUUACGAACAAUUAAUAAUGAAAUUCCCCAUCCAAUUAACAAGAUUAAAUUUUCCUUGUUAGCACUCCGACCUAACGUUUAUAUAGAAACGCAAACCGAAAGUAUGGAACAACCAACUUGACCCAAUGGCUAUAUAGAAC